UCCCUGGUGGUCCAGUGGUUAGGACUCAGUGCUUUCACUGCUGUGCCCCAGGUUCAAACCCUGGUCUGGGAA